AAAAGAAAAAGGCAAAGCUGUUGAAAAACAGUGACGCAAAGCCCUAGGGUCUAAAGUAUGUAAGUGCUAUGAUCGCCGGUUGCCCUA
rfam:Coprobacillus sp. CAG:235 genomic scaffold, scf39